ACAAUUCACCGAGAAUGAUGUGGAAACUAGCAGUUAUAGAAUAUUUGAUCACCGGGAAUGAUGGAGUAGUGAGAGCAGUCAAACUGCGUACAUCAAACGGACUGAUUACAACUAGACCAAUUGUGAAACUGGUGCCAUUGGAAAUAUGAACUGUAAUUGUUAAAAGUGUUUUUUUAAUACCCUUUUUAUGAACAAUACAUGGACAGUAAUUGCAUUUUUCGGCCCCCA
rnacentral:lncRNA from 1 species